rnacentral:rRNA from 1 species
AGUGAACGCUGGCGGUAGGCCUAACACAUGCAAGUCGAACGGCAGCACAGUAAGAGCUUGCUCUUACGGGUGGCGAGUGGCGGACGGGUGAGGAAUACAUCGGAAUCUACUUUUUCGUGGGGGAUAACGUAGGGAAACUUACGCUAAUACCGCAUACGACGUACGGGUGAAAGCAGGGGAUCUUUGGGCCUUUCGCGAUUGAAUGAGCCGAUGUCGGAUUAGUUAGUUGGCGGGGUAAAGGCCCACCAAGGCGACGAUCCGUAGCUGGUCUGAGAGGAUGAUCAGCCACACUGGAACUGAGACACGGUCCAGACUCCUACGGGAGGCAGCAGUGGGGAAUAUUGGACAAUGGGCGCAAGCCUGAUCCAGCCAUACCGCGUGGGUGAAGAAGGCCUUCGGGUUGUAAAGCCCUUUUGUUGGGAAAGAAAAGCAGCAGGUUAAUACCCCGCUGUUCUGACGGUACCCAAAGAAUAAGCACCGGCUAACUUCGUG